rnacentral:rRNA from 1 species
CACGUAGGGCGCGAGCGUUGUCCGGAAUUAUUGGGCGUAAAGAGCUCGUAGGCGGCCUGUUGCGUCCGCUGUGAAAGCCCGGGGCUUAACUCCGGGUCUGCAUUCGAUACGGGUCUGCUGGGGUCCGGCAGGGGAGACUGGAAUUCCUGGUGUAGCGGUGAAAUGCGCAGAUAUCAGGAGGAACACCGGUGGCGAAGGCGGGUCUCUGGGCCGGUACCGACGCUGAGGAGCGAAAGCGUGGGGAGCGAACAGG